GCUUUCUUGGCUCAGUUGGUAGAGCGUCGGUCUCAUAUUCCAAAUAUGACGCAGGCAGAAGACCUUGUGAUAUCCGAAGAUCGAGAGUUCGAUCCUCUCAGAGAGCA